rnacentral:lncRNA from 1 species
UGAAAAGCAAGUGAAUUUCCUAGCAACUCCCAGAAGAUGAGCACUACUCAGCACCAGAGCUUCAUGAAACUACAAAAAAAGUGGACUUUGCACAAUGGCAGGGGAGGAUUGUCAUUGCUUAAAGAAGAAAUUGAAACCAACUUAUCUCCCACCAUAGAUGGCUUGGAAGAAAGUCUGCAGAAACUUAAAGUUCAGGUGGACAGCUUAGCCUCAAGUCUGAGCUUUGACAUGGAUCAAAAUGAUGGCACAGAUUCUGACACCGCAGGCAGUUCAAGCACUUUUAGACCUAAAUGGCUACAAAUUUAUAAUGCAGCCUAUGUGGAGACAGGUCCUGGGAACACACCUAAGCAGCUUGCUGCGUCAGAGUGGUUUCUAAAGCCAAGGCAUCUAGUCAAAUCUUUAGGUGAUUACCCAGCACUAACAAACUUAAGUCUUCCAGUGUUCUCCGUAUCUGCAGUCAGUCAUGUGGCUGGGCUCCUGGAAAGUGAAACCACAAGCAAAAAUGAUUUGCUGUCAGAAGAUCUGGUAAAUACCAACUCAUUUCCUGUAAAGCUUGGAGCUCCACAUGUAAUUGGAGUCGAGUCUCUCUUACACCCAAAAGUCCCAGUGAGAACUUGCUCUCAUGAAAGAGUCAGUUCUUUCUUAGACCAAGGUAGCUCUCUGUCUGUUGAACGUGCAGGGAAUUACCGAUCCCGCUCAUUUUCUCCUGCUUCCAAAAAAAGCUGCUGGCUAAGGUCUCGCUCCCAGUCUCCCAAGUCCAUUUGGAGGCCAAAUUCUGCAAAGGCAAGUGCUUGUGCCCAGCCUCUGCCAAACUUUGGCAGAUUCAGGUACAGCAGAAAGACAACAGCAUCAACCAGACAGUCACGAUCUAGAAAACACAAAAUGGGGUCCCUGGCUGCCAGAUCACAUACUUCAACUAGGAUCAAUGCAGGGGGAAUACUCAGUUCCUCAUGGAGCCCUUACAGUCUGCCUUCUGCUACUAUGUCCUCACCAGCAGCUCAGGACAUUUAUGAAAGGUAUGAGAUGAGAAGCUCCCAGUUCCAUUAUGAAGCCCACAAAAACAAUGAGUUGCUGAGAGGCAGUCAAGACUUGCAAUCUCUGUGUAACUACAGAUAG